GGAGGGUGCAAGCGUUAAUCGGAAUUACUGGGCGUAAAGCGCACGCAGGCGGUCUGUCAAGUCGGAUGUGAAAUCCCCGGGCUCAACCUGGGAACUGCAUUCGAAACUGGCAGGCUAGAGUAUGGUAGAGGGUGGUGGAAUUUCCUGUGUAGCGGUGAAACGCGUAGAUAUAGGAAGGAACACCAGUGGCGAAGGCGGCCCCCUGGACAAAGACUGACGCUCAGGUGCGAAAGCGUGGGGAGCAAACAGGAUUAGAUACCCUGGUAGUCCACGCCGUAAACGAUGAUAACUAGCUGUCCGGGGACUUGGUCUUUGGGUGGCGCANCUAACGCAUUAAGUUAUCCGCCUGGGGAGU
rnacentral:rRNA from 1 species